rnacentral:rRNA from 1 species
GCUUUCUUUGCCGGCGACCGGCGCACGGGUGAGUAACACGUAUCCAACCUGCCCUUUACUCGGGGAUAGCCUUUCGAAAGAAAGAUUAAUACCCGAUGGGAUAAUUAUUCCGCAUGGUUUGAUUAUUAAAGGAUUCCGGUAAAGGAUGGGGAUGCGUUCCAUUAGGUUGUUGGUGAGGUAACGGCUCACCAAGCCUUCGAUGGAUAGGGGUUCUGAGAGGAAGGUCCCCCACAUUGGAACUGAGACACGGUCCAAACUCCUACGGGAGGCAGCAGUGAGGAAUAUUGGUCAAUGGGCGCUAGCCUGAACCAGCCAAGUAGCGUGAAGGAUGAAGGCUCUAUGGGUCGUAAACUUCUUUUAUAUAAGAAUAAAGUGCAGUAUGUAUACUGUUUUGUAUGUAUUAUAUGAAUAAGGAUCGGCUAACUCCGUGCCAGCAGCCGCGGUAAUACGGAGGAUCCGAGCGUUAUCCGGAUUUAUUGGGUUUAAAGGGAGUGUAGGUGGACUGGUAAGUCAGUUGUGAAAGUUUGCGGCUCAACCGUAAAAUUGCAGUUGAUACUGUCAGUCUUGAGUACAGUAGAGGUGGGUGGAAUUCGUGGUGUAGCGGUGAAAUGCUUAGAUAUCACGAAGAACUCCGAUUGCGAAGGCAGCUCACUGGACUGCAACUGACACUGAUGCUCG